GUUCAGCCACUCAGCUGAGACCACUGAGUUGUACUCGUAGCGUUCUCAACCGUGCCCAUGGCUCUGCUAGUUUUUCUCAAGGGGAAACCAAAAUUCUUGCUGCAGUUUACGGGCCAAAGGCUGGGACAAAAAAGAAUGAGAAUCCGGAAAAAGCUUGUAUUGAAGUCAUUUGGAAGCCCAAAUCUGGCCAAAUCGAUGCUGACGCUGUUUCCAUCGGCUAAUGUUUUAUUGAAUUUGCUAAAUACUAGGGAAAGCAGAAAAGGAGUAUGAGAUGAUACUGAAGAGAACUUUGCAAAAUAUCUGCAUUUUGAAUGUUCAUCCUAAUACCACCACAACAAUUAUUAUCCAGGUUGUUAAUGAUGAUGGUUCAGUAUCCUUCAUGAUUAUGCAGCUUCAUUUACUGCAAUAAUGGUAUAUAUAGAGCCAACACUGUUUGCUUUCUGAUGCAACUAAUUCAGCAUUUGGAUUUUCCUGGUUCCUGAACCUGAUUUUAAAUCUAUGGCAUGGGGCAUUUCUGAGGUAUACUGUGCAUAGCAAGCUCAUUUGCCAAUUAAAGAAAUUUAAUGAAUGAAUAAAUUUAUGAAGGUAUGCGUUUCUCAAUGUGCUUGCUGACUGUUUUUAAUUAAACAUAAAUUCUGACCAAGGAACAGAAAUGAAACAAAAAGUUAUCAAGUAAACGUUAAAUUUUACCUUGUUAGCCUGAAUUUUGGAAACUUUGGUUUCUUUACCUGUCUUUCACUUUUCGUGUUUUACUUCAUUAUUCUUGUUUUUCUUUAUCAAGGAAACAUUAAAUUUCACCUUGUUAUCUUUAAUUGAAAUUUUGCAAAUCACCACCCCUGUAGCUGUUAUUAUGAGUUCCAUUAAAGGACUUUAUUUUAUGGUUUCUACUUGGAGCUUGUUUGGUUUCCAUUAUAGAACGUGUGGGAAGAGUUUAUAAACGUUUUAAAUUAUAAAUAAAUAUAAGUGAGUCGUUAAUAAGUGAAUAGCACUUAUUGAUCCUUCUAAAUGCGUGGAUAAAAAAUGACUUGAAUAUUUAUAAACUAUAUAUAAACAUGAGCCAAACAUAGGAUAAUCUCCUUGUAAUUUAAAGGUCAAAAGUUAAAUUUUAAUUUUAACUAUAGAUUUCAUAAGACCCAGAACUAUAAUAUACUUAUCCACCAAUCAUUUCUAUCGCGUUAUAAUUUCAACAACUUAUAAUAAAAACCAAACAAGCACUAUCAUUUGUAAAGAAAGAAAAUUCAUCUUUCGGAUGUAUUAAAGGGAAAAAAAAAUAAUAAUAUCUCAUGCUAUCAUAUGAUGUUGGGUUUUAUAUAAGCUUGGCACGUGUUAAUAUUUCCAUGUUUGGAAGGCCAUUAUUCGUUAACUUCCUUGACUAACCUUUUGUUAAGCUUCUCCCUUGUGCUAUAAAUGCAGCAUGUUCUGCCCUUGUAGAUGCUGGAAUUCCUUUGAAAUAUCUUGCCGUUGCCAUAAGUUUUUGUCUAGCAGAAGACGAGUAUUGUGUAUUGGAUCCCAACAAGCUAGAAGAACAGAGUAUGAAGGCACUGGUCUAUUUAGUUUUCUGAAACUCGAUUCUGUCUGUACUUGAUGAAGAAUCAGUGGAAGUAGGAGAAUAAAUUGAAAAUGGAGUUAUCACAUCUGUUACUCAUGGUGUGAUGACAGUGAACAAUUAAUUUCAGUGUCUGGAGCAAGGACGCGCCGCAAUCAAGCUGCUGUCUGAUUUUCUAAGGAGAAAGUUGUGGUCGAAAGUUCAAAGUGAUGUAUCUGUAGCUGGCUGAAUUUUUUGAGGCAAUGACAUAGGAUCUCAGCAUCAGAAAAUAUUUUGAUUUUCUUGGUAUGUGCUGAAUGUUCUGUAUAUAAUUUUCGUGCGUGCUGAAUCCGCUUGAAGCUAGAUGUGUUGUGAAAUAUUUUGCAGGAAAGUAUAAAUUAACUACGGUAUAGAUUUGGUUAAGGAUACACGGUUCGUUAA